AAACUACUAUGAUUGUCUAAUCCUACCCGUAAACUUAUUCCAACAAUUAUGAUCGAUAAAAUCAUCACAAAAUCUAAUGAUAAUUAAUGUAAUAUAAUAUUAAUACCUAUUAUUAUGUAACAAACAAUUAAGUUUGAAUAAGAAGCAUGAUUAUUUAUUAAUGCAUAAUUAUAUUAUGCAUUGAAUUCACUCCUAUCCGAGUUCAUCGAUGUCCAAGAAGAAAAACGCGAGUACGAAUUUGCACGACUCCAGUGCAAAGUAUUCCUGAAAUUAAUUCUACUGUCAUUAUCAUGGUAGAUAUAAUAAAAGUCGUAAAGCCUUAUGUUGUGUCUUGACGAGGUUGAAAGACACAAACAAUUCAAUACCAGGAAUCCAGGAAGACCUAGAGAAACAAGGAGAAUGCGUGGAGGGAUGAGACUAGAAGGAGUUAUUAUAAACAUCAUUUCUAAAAAUGCCACACCUUAUAUAUUAAGAUAUUAUCUCUUUCAGCCUCCUCUCUCACUCAACGGAUGGAAUCCGAGAUAACUCAUCUCCCCCCUUUUCCAAAUACUCCAUAGACCAUAAGAGCCAAAUUCACAACUCCUUAACACAAUGAGACAUUCCAUCGACCCUUCGAAGUGAUAAUUAACCAAAUAACUUGGAAAAAUUGAGAAAUUUCAGCUUCAAUUCGCAUAAUCUCUUCCUCAGUCAAUUAAUUAUAUUCUUCACUUCGCGUACCUACGCUUGACCAAGGACUCCUGUAAGCAGGACCAGGCACGCGCAAACAUGGCUUUAUUGAAGAAAAAAAAUGAACAACGCAAUGUGUUUGGUAGAGCUGUGUUCCCUGCAUUUCAACAAAUCUGAUUUCAUCUGUGAGUCUAAAAGAAGUCAGAUACUAGGCAAGGCUCUGAAGAACAGGUACCUCAAACCAGUUGUAGUGCCAUCCCUAGGGCCAAACUGCCCCAACUACCUCUCAACUCCUAAAUCUUCAUCAAGGCCAACUCGAGCUGCGACCUCGUCACGUAGGGCUCAACAGUUCAAUGAAAUGAAUUAUGUGGAAGAAUUUGGUGACAAAUUGGCCAAGGAGAGACUCCCAUCAGACUUCAUCCUCAUAACAAAACCAAGUGUUGCCCUUUUGAAGCUAUCCCAUGAUGAGAAAUUGGGCCCCCAUGAGCCAGCAUCCAGUUUGAGACAUAUAUGUCAUUCAAAAUGUACCACUCUGGUGUGUUGAUUGACAAAAAGGCAGUGUUACACAUCACCUCAAAAGGCAAGGUCAACACUGUGAUUCAAGCCAUCAAUUUGGCUUCCUUUCUGGGAGCAAAAGAAAAAUUGAAUCAAACAGAGACCUGGGAAGACAUUUCCAACAAGUUACUAAAGUUUCUCAACUCCUCAGAGAUUGAACCUAUGCAAGCUUCUAAGCUCUUUCAUUCGUGAGCAAAUGGCUCUCCUCUUCACCAAACCAACAGCUAGAUAAUAUUCACCUUGUCUUCUUUCAACCGUACUCAUGUGGGAGAAUGUGAGCUCAGGACUAUGUGGAAUAUCCUAAACGUCAAGACACCUAGAGUUGGCUACGAAAAGAGAGAUGAGCUUCGGGAGAAGAAGAAACUUGCCCUCUCUUUCAAGAGAGAUUUUGUCAACUUUCUCAUCGAGUGGCAAAACAGUUAAGCAACUGGCCUCAGAAACCUUCCUAGCAACAGCAGACGUGCCUGAUCUGGCAGAGUAUCUUCUCCUAGAUGAUGACUUAUCCUAUGUUCUCCUCGGCAUGUUCCAGUCUGAUCCCAUCGACAGAAGGUUCGGCUGGUACUGACAAAUAAGUGGAGGUAUCUACUAUAUCAGAGUAAGACAGAUCCUGGAAGCAGAGAAAAAGAUUCGUAUUCUUGUCAAACUCUCAGGUCCGACUACUUCAGAAAUUAAAGCUCUGCUGGAUGAAGACCUGGUAAAAGCUGAGUUCAUUUUGACUAACUGGCAACCAGAUGACCUCCAGGAACUAGCUUCCAAGGGAGAAAGUAAUGAUCUCUACUUUGUUGCCGGGUAUAUUGGUUUUUCUUUGAAGAAGAAGAUCAGCUGUUAUGAUGCCAAGAGUUAAUUGUCAUCAGAAACACACCUCCGGACUCAAUAACCUUCGAUAGCCCAACCAAUCACCAUGUAGACCUGAAAGAGUUCAUCGGUAUAAUGAGCAGAGGGGGUUGUCGACUCCAUCCGACCUUCUCUACCUCUCGUGGCUUUAUGCUCACUCCAUGUUCUCUUACAUCCCAGCUACUCCUGAAGAGAAAUACAUCUUACUUGGCUUCAUUUAUUGCCACAUUCAUUGAAAGGGUGCCGGACAGUUAAAACAUUAUCACCGUUGUGGGACUAAAGUGCGAGGAAGCCCUCUUCAAAGAAUUUCAUUCGCUUUGUUUAAUGCCAUGGGUAAAAAUUUAAGUGCUAAAAUGAAUGAUGACAUCUGAUUUUUAACACAAACGAGAAUGGCAGCUAAGAAUUCAGAAGCUAAUAGAAAAAAAGCUAAAUUUCAAUCAAAAUCCUCCGACUUGUAGACUUUUACCAACUUUGUACUUUUUGAUAGUGCCUUUUCUUGUUUAUAGGUUUUUAAUGUUUAUUUUGAUUAAAGUACUAAUAAAAUAAUUAGAAAUA
rnacentral:lncRNA from 1 species